CUCAAAAACUAUUAAGUAUAAUACAUAUAUUUGUAUACCGAAACGCAGCCAAUUAGUCUACCUUUCUUCCAUUAAAGUUUGACAUUGAUAGCUUUUAUGGUUUUUGAGAUAUAUGACUCGGAAAAAAGGGUGGCCCACUGUUCCAACAAUCACCCUAAAUGGGAAUGACAUUCACUAUCGAUGGGUCACGUGAUCAAGUUGUCGAUCGGACAGAUCAUUAUCAUUUCCAUAUUGUUAGUUUUCAAAGCGUUAGCGUCCGAAUCGACGUACCACAUGGCUAAGGCCUCUGGUCCGAUGCUUGCCUUGCGAUUGUCAACGCUCAAAGAACGCGUGCACUGCUCGCAAGUAAUUCACGCGACGACUAUGCUAUUAAGCUCUGUAUUUUUAGACCACAUUCAUUCGUAUAGUUUACUACAACUAACUACAUGGUUUAACGCUGUUUCUUUGUGACAGCUGCGGGCCGCGGCCAUUGCCAUGGAACCAUGUGCCAGUGCCAGGUGGCUAUAAUGAGCUAUAACCUUAACUUUCAAAAACUUAUGACGAUCCUCUUUUCUAGGCAUCAUGUGUCAAACAUGCAUGUACGCGCCCAUGGAUUACCUACUAGUAAACCUGUCGUGUUGUGUUGCUAUAUUAUUGAGAAUGGUUCAAAUCGAUUUGCUGUCUCUAAAAGGCGUUACUAAUUUGAAAGACUUCUACGAAUAUAAUAAUUGUCAAGACAUAAAUAUUAUCGUGAAAACACAUCAAACUUUAUUGAGGUAGGUUUGGUGACCCUACAGACAAUAUUUUCUUAGAUGUUUUUCUUGUAUUCCUGGGAAAAAAGAAUUCUUGUACCUAAUAAUAGAUGGGAUAUCCUAUGUGUCCUUCUAAGAAAUUAAUUAUCACGUGUCUCAAACGGUGAAGGAUAAACAUUUUGAGGAAAUAUACAUACCUGGACGUAUCUUAAUUCUCUACGUACCUACUUACCUAUGUGAAGUUUGCCAAUCCGCAUUGGACCAUUGGUGGACUAUUGCCUAAUCCCGCUCAUUCUGAGAGAAGAGUCGUGCUCAGCAGUGAGCCGAAAAUGGUUUGCUGAUAAUGAUAUCCUGUAUUUCCUGUAUAUACUUAAGACUAGCUUAUUAUUCCUUUUUUUUGAAAAAAAAUGAAAAAAAAAUCUAUUCAUUACAUCCUAUUCUUUCGUCUCGUUUUUUUAGUCUCGCUGAACGACUAAACAAUAUUUUAAAAGAAAUAAUAUUUUCUCAAGCAUAUCUCUCAUCGGUGAUCAUUUGCUGCUACUUGUUUACGUCCAUGGUAAAGUAUUUCACCUUCUGGUCUCGACGAUUUCUGAGCAUUCUCCGAGGCUAGAAGUUUGCGCGGAAUUUAAUUUCUUUAUGCAAGCCACACACGGUCAAGUUCGCCUUCAAAUCAUUUUGUAAGCAUGUUGUGUUUGCUUCAAUUAGGCAAAAUUACGUGAGGUUGAGAAGAAGCUAUUUUUAAUAUAAGUUAAGUAAUUGUGCCAGUUUAGCAAACCAAUUAAAAAAAAAAAUCUGCAGCGUGCUUAGGGAUGUGAAAGUCAAAAAAAAUAUCGUAACAUGGUUAUGGGUAAGAUUUCAAUAAUUUUUUAACCUAUUGCACAUACCUCUUGGUGUGUCCAUAAAUCGUCGAGGUGACCUUUUUAUGCGAUUUCAUAACUAAAUGUUUUGGUUUAUGUUAACUGUUUGGGACAGUUGCAGAUGAAUAAGUAUGGGAUAACAGCGGUUGUAGGAACAUUGUUGGGUGCGUUUGGUCUCUUGACAGAAAUAUUUAUCUUGUCAAUUCCUGGUCAAAUCCUCGCUAAUAUGGUAAGUUUAAUGGGCAUUUAUUGGAUCGCUGUUAGCCCCAAAGUAGGCGCAAAUUGUGUUAUGGGUAAGUACUCGCACUAAGAUAACUGAUGAAUAUACCUACGUAUAUAAUAUGACAUGUACUUAAAAUUGUACUAUACUGUAAAAUUGGAUGGGUUUUAAACAUUUCUUUAUGUUAAUUAUUCUCACUCUCACUCACUCACACAUAUCAGCCGAUGGAUGUCCACUGCAGGACGUAGGCCUUUUGUAGGGACUUCCAAACAUCACGAUACUGAGCCACCUGCAUUCAGCGAACCCCUGCGACUCGCUUGAUGUCGUCAGUCCACCUGGUGGGGGGUCGGCCAACACUGCGCUAACUAGUGCCCAGAAGAGUUAGAUUCGACGGUUCACCUCUUUCUCGAAAUUGGACCUACCUAACUGGAUCAUAUGUCCUAGGUAUAUGUAUUCAUCUACUACAUACGUCUUUCGGUUGCAGCGCUCUCAACUAUAACUGGGUGGAGCGUAAUUAUUCUACGUAUGUUAAUUAAAUCAUUCUAUGUAUACUACGUUUAACAUUUUAUUUAAUCUCAAGUUAAAUAAUUUCAGAGCGCUGGUGUUGCAGAAGCGGCUUACUUUUCCCCUUGGUAUGAGAGAGGUUAUGCCUUCAGAAAAUAUAUUGCUAUAAUAAUCACAAGGUAACACAGCCCUUUUUUAAUGUACUUACUCUCUUUUAUAUCUAGCUUAGAUGUACCUAUUGAAGUAGUAAGAUGUCGAUGUUAUUUACGUCCUAGUAAGAUGUCGCCCUAAAAAAUGUACCUACGUACCUACAAAAUUUACCCAGAGAUAGCUGAACUAAGCUGUUAAGUAUGACUUCAUUUGGGUUAAAAUUAGUUUUUUUUCUCUUAUAUAAGUACGAGUAUAACCUAUAUAUGUUGCUCCACACUCCACUAUCUAACUGUGAAAACCGCAUGAAAAUCGCUUCAAUAGAUCUAAAGAAUAACGCAAACAGAAGAAAGAAAGAAGUCAGAGAGCCUAAAGACAUCCUAGUUUUUUAAGCACUUUGAUAUAAUAAACUAUAUAUACACUGCAACAGAUAAAUACUUUCAACAAUUCAAAAAACAAUGUUAAGUUUUUUAAAAUAUCCUAAUUGUAUUUAAUUAAUCCAUAUUUAUGUUAUUACAGAGCUCAAAAGCCGUGUUAUCUUUCGGCCUUGGGAUUUGCGAAUCUGACCCUUGUUAUGUUUUCUAAAGUAGCCAGCACUUCGUGGACGUACCUGUCUAUAUUGAAUCAAAUGUUGGAAAAGUUUGAAGCCUAAAGUUUAACGCACAUAAAGUUUCACAAAUCAUUACGCCAGCCACUCACGUCAAGCUUUCUUCAAUUCUGCAGCGCGCUUAGAUAUUUGAAAUUAAAAAAAAACCAUAUCGAAACCAUAUAUACCAAGAAUAUUUCGAUAUAUUUUUUUCACUUGUUCAUCUACGGAAUAUAAUAAUAUUUUCCGUAAAAAACAAAUAUAAUAAUAGGCGAUGUAUCACCUAUUAUAGAACUUUUAACAGCACAAAAGGAAUUUAAAUAAAACAUGAAGUUAAUGUGUUUGUAAUAUUAUUUUGUAUUGUCAAUUUAUAAUAAUAUUUCACAAUAUUUUCAGAAACCCUAAGAAUAAUACAAAUUCAUUACCAAUUACAAUGAUGACUUGGGUUAUUUAUAAAAUGUACAAUAUAAUCUCAUUCGUUUUGAACUUUAUUAGCUUAGGUAUUUAAAUAUUUACAAAAUAUUUUAAAUAUUUUAAAAUUGUAUACAAUAGACUAUAGAUUACAGUGAUAUAAAUACAUAAAAAAUAAGAAUUAC